CCCUUAGAUGUUCUGGGCCGCACGCGCGCUACACUGAUGCAUUCAACGAGUCUAAAACCUGCUCUGAUAGGGGUGGGUAAUCUUUUGAAUGUGCAUCGUGAUUGGGAUAGAUGAUUGCAAUUUUUCAUCUUCAACGAGGAAUGCCUAGUAAAUGCAAGUCAUCAGCUUGCAUUGAUUACGUCCCUGCCCUUUGUACACACCGCCCGUCGCUCCUACCGAUUGAAUGAUCCGAUGAAUAUCAUGGAUUGAGGAUGCAAGCAGGUUCGCCUGUCUUCAUCUUCGAGAAGUGAAGUAAAUCUUAUCAUUUAGAGGAAGGAGAAGUCGUAACA
rnacentral:rRNA from 1 species